GGGAGGACUGCAAGGAGGGAGGCGUGUGUGAACUUGGGUUGAGCAACCCCCCAGGGCAGCCCCAAAUUCCUGAAGCUGGCACUGGAGAGGCGCAGAGCAGGCCCAGCCCUCCAGCUGCCCAUGCUCAGCCCCUCAUGCCCCAUCUCUGGCCCCACAGCUGCCCAGGCUCAGCCCCUCAUGCCCUGUCUCUGCCCCCAACCCCCCGGCAGCUGGCGGAGAUCCACGGUGUGCCCCGUGGGCUGUAUGACGGGCCCGUCCACGAGGUGAUGGUGCCUGCCAAGCCAGGGAGUGGCGCUCAGGCCCGCGCGUCCUGCCCAGGCAAGAUCUCAGUCCCUCCUGUGCGCAACCUACAUCAGUCGGGGUUCAGCCUAUCUGGGUCUCAGGCUGAUGACCACAUCGCCCGACGCACAGCACAGAAGAUCAUGGCACCACCUGGCGGCCGCU
rnacentral:sRNA from 1 species